GACGAACGCUGGCGGCGUGCCUAAUACAUGCAAGUCGAACGCAGUGGGGACGGGUGAGUAACACGUGGGUAACCUCCCAUCAGAGGGGAUACCACUUGGAAACAGGUGCUAAACCGAUACUGAUGGAUGGACCCGCGGUGAAUUAGCUAGUUGGUGAGGUAACGGCUCACCAAGGUCACGAUUCAUCGGCUAACUGUGAGGGGGAUCGGCCACACUUGGACUGAGACAAGGCCCAGACUCCUACGGGAGGCAGCAGGGGGGAAUCUUCGGCAAUGGACGAAAGUCUGACCGAGCAACGCCGCGGGAGUGAAGAAGGUUUUCGGAUUGGAAAACUCUGUUGUUAGAGAAGCGGUAUCUAACCAGAAAGCCACGGCUAACUACGGGCCAGCAGCCGCGGUAAAUC
rnacentral:rRNA from 1 species